AUUGAACGCUGGCGGCAGGCCUAACACAUGCAAGUCGAGCGGUAGCACAGAGAGCUUGCUCUCGGGUGACGAGCGGCGGACGGGUGAGUAAUGUCUGGGAAACUGCCUGAUGGAGGGGGAUAACUACUGGAAACGGUAGCUAAUACCGCAUAACGUCGCAAGACCAAAGUGGGGGACCUUCGGGCCUCAUGCCAUCAGAUGUGCCCAGAUGGGAUUAGCUAGUAGGUGGGGUAACGGCUCACCUAGGCGACGAUCCCUAGCUGGUCUGAGAGGACGACCAGCCACACUGGAACUGAGACACGGUCCAGACUCCUACGGGAGGCAGCAGUGGGGAAUAUUGCACAAUGGGCGCAAGCCUGAUGCAGCCAUGCCGCGUGUGCGAAGAAGGCCUUCGGGUUGUAAAGCACUUUCAGCGGGGAGGAAGGCGGUGAGGUUAAUAACCUCAUCGAUUGACGUUACCCGCAGAAGAAGCACCGGCUAACUCCGUGCCAGCAGCCGCGGUAAUACGGAGGGUGCAAGCGUUAAUCGGAAUUACUGGGCGUAAAGCGCACGCAGGCGGUCUGUCAAGUCGGAUGUGAAAUCCCCGGGCUCAACCUGGGAACUGCAUUCGAAACUGGCAGGCUAGAGUCUUGUAGAGGGGGGUAGAAUUCCAGGUGUAGCGGUGAAAUGCGUAGAGAUCUGGAGGAAUACCGGUGGCGAAGGCGGCCCCCUGGACAAAGACUGACGCUCAGGUGCGAAAGCGUGGGGAGCAAACAGGAUUAGAUACCCUGGUAGUCCACGCCGUAAACGAUGUCGAUUUGGAGGUUGUGCCCUUGAGGCGUGGCUUCCGGAGCUAACGCGUUAAAUCGACCGCCUGGGGAGUACGGCCGCAAGGUUAAAACUCAAAUGAAUUGACGGGGGCCCGCACAAGCGGUGGAGCAUGUGGUUUAAUUCGAUGCAACGCGAAGAACCUUACCUGGUCUUGACAUCCACAGAGCUUUCCAGAGAUGGAUUGGUGCCUUCGGGAACUGUGAGACAGGUGCUGCAUGGCUGUCGUCAGCUCGUGUUGUGAAAUGUUGGGUUAAGUCCCGCAACGAGCGCAACCUUAUCCUUUGUUGCCAGCGGUUAGGCCGGGAACUCAAAGGAGACUGCCAGUGAUAAACUGGAGGAAGGUGGGGAUGACGUCAAGUCAUCAUGGCCCUUACGACCAGGGCUACACACGUGCUACAAUGGCAUAUACAAAGAGAAGCGACCUCGCGAGAGCAAGCGGACCUCAUAAAGUAUGUCGUAGUCCGGAUUGGAGUCUGCAACUCGACUCCAUGAAGUCGGAAUCGCUAGUAAUCGUAGAUCAGAAUGCUACGGUGAAUACGUUCCCGGGCCU
rnacentral:rRNA from 1 species